rnacentral:tRNA from 1 species
GGCCCGGUAGUGUAAUCGGUUCAACACGCUGCCCUCUCAAGGCAGAGACUACGGGUUCGAUUCCCGUCCGGGCUA